rnacentral:lncRNA from 1 species
AUCUAAUCCAGUCAAAUCUAAUCCAGUCUAGUCUAAUCCAGUCUAGUCUAAUCCAGUCUAGUCUAAUCCAGUCUAGUCUAAUCCAGUCUAGUCUAAUCCAGUCUAGUCUAAUCCAGUCUAGUCUAAUCCAGUGUUAUGUUCCACAGCAAAAUAAAACUACAAUGUUGCUCAAACAGAAGGGAGAACUGAUCAACAACCAAAACGAAACCGGUGCAGUUUUAGGAAGGGUUCUGAAAGACGCUCGUGUCCACUGACAGUUUACUAGCAGCAACAACAACAACUGGGACCUAAAAAACCCCACCAGGAGACCCACUAACUUCACCCAGGAAGAGGCCAACAAAGACCCCCACCAGGAGACCCACUAACUCCACCCAGGAAGAGGCCAACAAAAAACCCCACCAGGAAACCCACUAACUCCACCCAGGAAGAGGCCAACAAAAAACCCCACCAGGAGACCCACUGACUCCACCCAGGAAGAGGCCAACAAAAACCCCCACCAAACUUAAAGACAGGAUGUAUACAGAUAUGAGCAGUUUACAGAGGAGUAUAGAGUGCAGUGAUGUGUCCUAUAAGGAGCAUUGGUGGCAAAUCUGAUGGCUGAAUGGUAAAGAACAUCUAGUCGCUCGAGAGCACCCUUACCUGCCGAUCUAUAAAUGAUGUCUCCGUAAUCUAGCAUGGGUAGGAUGGUCAUCUGAAUCAG